AUUUAAGGGCUGUCAGCCAAAGGGGGAGCAUCUCUACUUGAUGAUUUUUUCCUUUGGGAGUUUUUCAGUGAGCUCCUCUCCUCAGAAACUGCUGGGGAAGUACUUGGGAUGAGAUCUUCUGUAAGCCAGAAGUUUGUUCAGCUCACAGGACAGAGUGAUAUGGAGAAUAUGUUCAGGCUAUGGAUGUUCAGCAUUUGAUACAGUUACAAGUAUUUGGUUGAGAGGAGUCUGCACCUUCAGGUGGUCCCAGCUGUAGACUUUAUGCCACAGCCAGCCAUCACACUGUUUGAGUGAUAUCUUAUCACCAGAGGCAACAUCAGCGUGGAAAGAAAGGUGUUCUGCCUGCAUGACACUCAUCUGGAGUGGCAUUACUCAAUACCUUGCAAAAGGUGUGGGAUGCCAGAGAGUUUGAAAAGAUGUUCUCACAGCACCUCACGGUAAUGGAGCAGGAAGGAGGGAAGUGAUUUUGUUGAAUCCUAUAUUUGCAAAUGUGGGUGGAAUUCUCUGAAUAAUUUUGGCUGAAAUGAAGCCUUUGCUCAAUUUCUUCCCCUGCCCUGGGGAAGUGAACUCACAGCCCCAGUGGGACUCCUUCAGUCAGAAGGCUAUCAUUUCUGGGGCAGCGUUCUCUUGUCCCUUCUUUUGCAUAGCAAAAUGUCUCACUGAGUUGGCUAGAAAGAAACAAGACAAGAGAGAGUCCACAUCCCAGAGACUGGGGAACUGUGUGGGAAACAUUUAGCUGACUUUCCAAUAAAACAGCCAGAAAAUGGAGUCAAACCAAGGGCUGCCAUUUGUUCACCUGGCCUCAGAGCCAAAGCAGUUCAGGCGACAUCCACUCUGGUAGUUGGACUUCACCAGGAGAGAAUAACUGCAAAACAGCAAAAAAUCAUGAUAUUGAACCCUGUCUCAGAGAGAAGUACAAAUGUGAGUGCAACAGGCUCACCAGGGCAGUGGCCACAGCUCCAAGUGGACAGAGUUCAAGAAGCAUAAGACAUAGGGUCUGAUCUUUAGGUAGUCCCGUGUGGAGCCACAAGUUGGACUUGGUGGCCCUAAGAUGGAGCCCUGUAGAACCCCACUUGUAACUGGCUGCCAGCCUCAUGUAAGCCCUUAUUAUAACUCGUGGAGCCUGAUCUGUCAUCCAGCUGUUCACCCAUUACAUUACGUUUUUGUCUAGCUGGACAUCUUGUCCAGAAAGAUACUGUGAGAAUAAUGUAUGAAAGAAAAAAAAUCUUGUUAAAAAUAUGUGGCCCAAUACAUUACAGCCCUUAUGCAUCAUGAAAUUUUCUUGCUUUAUGACACAGAACAUCAUAAAAUUAAAUUGGUUGUCCAGAUGCUCAGAUCAAAUAUAUUUGAAAAGAAAUCAUAUUAUCUAGUUUUACAUAAUAUGUAGAUUGAAACCAAACUUGAAAUUUAUGGCAUGUGAUACAAGGUUAGAUAAAUAUUCUGCAAUGAAUAUAAUUAGAUUUUCUUUUUCCAAAACUUAAUUGAAUGGCAUUAAAGCUUCUUGCAAAAUC
ensembl:lncRNA